rnacentral:rRNA from 1 species
GACGAACGCUGGCGGCGUGCUUAACACAUGCAAGUCGAACGAUGAAGCCUUUCGGGGUGGAUUAGUGGCGAACGGGUGAGUAACACGUGGGUAAUCUGCCUUGCACUCUGGGAUAAGCCUGGGAAACUGGGUCUAAUACCGGAUAUGACUACUUCACGCAUGUGGGGUGGUGGAAAGUUCUGGCGGUGUGAGAUGAACCCGCGGCCUAUCAGCUUGUUGGUGGGGUGANGGCCUACCAAGGCGACGACGGGUAGCCGGCCUGAGAGGGCGACCGGUCACACUGGGACUGAGACACGGCCCAGACUCCUACGGGAGGCAGCAGUGGGGAAUAUUGCACAAUGGGCGAAAGCCUGAUGCAGCGACGCCGCGUGAGGGAUGACGGCCUCGGUGUAACCC